ACUUCCUGUGGUGACCAACGGCCCAGGCCUGGGGGAUUAAAGAACUGCUCACUCUAGUGGGACCGAGACAGUCGGACGAGAAAUGGAAGAAUUAUUGAAAAGAUGCUGUUCUAGUGGCACUAUGAAUCCGUUAUUUUCCUGCCAAGAACCUGUGAUUUUCCAGGGCUUGGCAGUGAGCAACCCCACACACUGAGAACUGGAGAACUGUGGUGUGGCUAUGGUGGGGGAGGGGGGAGGCACCUACCAAGGGCACAAGGACAGAAAGUGAAAUGUGGAGUACAGGGGAAAAUUGAAACAAAGUGCGAAAUGUACGUCACGGGAGCAAAACGGUUAAACUUCUCUCCUCCGCAGCCCUCCAAAGCAGCUGCAUCCAGGAGGGAAGUUUGCCAUGGAAACACAGGAAGUAUCAGAUCUGGGCAACAAGGGAAGCUUUUCUUGUAGGAUCCAAACUGGAAGUAGCUCUCUUCUCACCAAAAGCCUGGGGCUCUACAGCGUGUCUCGUCUCUUCACGGUGACUUAGGGUGUGGGGACGGAGGCACUAUUUAUGGAGCGAGCAGCCAGAGAUGGCAGUUAGCAGAACAUAUCUGGAGAAAGCAACCUCUGACAAAUGGAAGUGAUGAGGCAUUUUACUUAACCGUGAGCUCUGCGUAAAUACAUGUAUAUAGAGAGAUAGCAUUACAUAACUGGCAUUAAGUCUUGAUACAGGAGGGUGGGCACUUCAGCCCCAACAGUGAGCGACCUGGACAGAAGGACUGAGCCUUGGGCAAGAAAAGACCCAGAUCUGGAAGACGGAGGAAGGACAUGGCAGUAGGACACAGCAGAGAUACUCUCCUCAGCCACAUCUGGCCAAUGGUUUUUAAAAAUUUCUUAGUGAUCGGGUUGUAAAUUGUUAUCUGCCCUAAGUUGGAUGUUAUUUGCUGUUUAGUGUAUCUUUAAGUCAGUUGAAGUUAUUGGCACAUAAAUUAUAUGUCGUUCCUUUUUCCACAUGGGAUUUGAGUCCUUCUCAAGGGAUUUUUUUUUUUUUCCUAUGAAGUGUACAAAGACCCCACCCGAUAACAUUACAUACGUUUGCUUCACUAGGAGGACCUAAAUUUGCUAGAAUUUGGGUUCCCAGAGUGAACAAAGCAGAGCAACAGCUGCCUUUAGAGAAAGCCACUAACCGCAGCUAGUUCCCACCCAGAGUCGUACCACGACUUCUAGAAGCAAAGGACAAAGGGAAAGGCAAGAGAUGAGAAAGGCUGCGUGGGACAUAAAAUCCCAGAUGAGAGGGGCUGCAGAAGACAGUGAGCACAUACAGGGUAGUGUGACUGUUAGGUCAGGAGAAACUGUAAAACUGUGGACAGAUCUGCGAAGAAGGGGCUGUAACUUGGAAAUAGAACUUGCAAGCAAAAAUAAUCAACAUCAAGUACACGAUAGAUGACUUCGGCCGUCUGUAAAAAUAACCCCAUCCCGGAGAACGGUUGGGAGAAUCUUGCACGUCAUGCUGCCUUAUGGCCCCUGACGUUGUGCUGCAUCGUCUGUGUAGGAGUCUGUCUCAUCCUCUGUGAUGUACGUGCUACAAGAGCAGUGGAAAUGGCUUGGAGAGCAUGUGCCACAGACCCCGGGGUUUGGAAUCAUGACUUACACCCAUUCCACAUGACUCCCUGGUCUAUGAUCCUUCAACUGGAAUGCACCGUUACCUAAAUGGACAUCAGCCAAGCUUCUCAGCCCCAAUGUGUAACUUCCUAAACCACGUCCGAGGGCCCCGGUCAUAAGGAAACCUGGAAGAGUGAAGAAAGGCCUGAUUGAUCACAAGGUCCUAUCAAAUGUCAAAGCCGGCCCUGGCUGACCUCCCAUCUAUUCAGAGCUGCUUUGAUUUAAUCUCCAAACUGGCUGCUUCUCCAGGCUAGAAGAGGAUUGAAAAUGUCCAUGAGGAAAGGUGAUGAUAGUGUCUUCAUGGAACCCUUGGGUAAGAUUGAUUGGCAAAGAAUAAGGUGAUCUGGGUUUUAAAAUCUGGCUUCGCAACAACUAACCUAUUGAGUAAGUCAAUUUCGGUGGUCUUAGUUACUUGAUAUGCAUGAUAAGGAGGUUGGAAUAAAUAAUUUUCUUUGUUCUCACGGUGGAUAAAUUGUAUGAACCUCUUCUGUUUUAUAUUUAGAAUCAAAUAUUACAUUUUCCUUCAUACCUCAGUAAUGUGUAUAAGCACUCAGUGCCAGAGGCUUGUUAGUGCUAAGUAUUUGUUGAGU